GGCUGGCUAUCAAUUAGAUAUAGUUAGGAGGGAAAGCAGAGGCGAUAUAUAUAGAGAGAGAGAGUGUGUGUUUAAGAAUUCUCAAUUCCAAGAUUCUGCAGAGAUAUAGCCAUAAAUGUCUUCAAACAGCAGCGAACAAAAAAUGAAAAAUAAUAAUAAUAAAAAGAAGAAGAAGAGAAGAAAUCUUUGAGCUACGGAUCUCUUUAGUAAAAGCUUCUCUUUAAUGCGCCACCAAUCUCUAUAGACAAAAGGCAGUUCCUAAGCCCAAAGACGGCGAGACCUCAAAAGCAGGAAAAGAGAGAAGCUAAAAAUCUGGGCGUUUCAAUGGAC
rnacentral:misc_RNA from 1 species